rnacentral:rRNA from 1 species
GUGAACUGGGUGCCAGCAGCCGCGGUAAGACGAGGGGGGGAAGCGGUGGUCGGAAUGAUUGGGCGUAAAGGGUAGGUAGGUGGGCUCAUUUGUCUGGGGGGAAAGCCUUGAGCUUAACUCAAGAAGUGCCCCGGAAACGGUGAGACUGGAGUCUUGGAGAGGGUCGUGGAAUUCCCGGUGUAGCGGUGAAAUGCGUAGAGAUCGGGAGGAACACCAGAGGCGAAGGCGGCGACCUGGACAAGUACUGACACUCAACUACGAAAGCGUGGGGAGCAAACAGGAUUAGAUACCCCGGUAGUC